rnacentral:rRNA from 1 species
AACGAACGCUGGCGGCAUGCCUAACACAUGCAAGUCGAACGAGACCUUCGGGUCUAGUGGCGCACGGGUGCGUAACGCGUGGGAACCUGCCCUUAGGUUCGGAAUAACUCCCCGAAAGGGGUGCUAAUACCGGAUAAUGUCUUCGGACCAAAGAUUUAUCGCCUUUGGAUGGGCCCGCGUUGGAUUAGCUAGUUGGUAGGGUAAAAGCCUACCAAGGCGACGAUCCAUAGCUGGUCUGAGAGGAUGAUCAGCCACACUGGGACUGAGACACGGCCCAGACUCCUACGGGAGGCAGCAGUGGGGAAUAUUGGACAAGGGGCGAAAGCCUGAUCCAGCGAUGCCGCGUGAGUGAUGAAGGCCUAAGGGUUGUAAAGCGCUUUUACCCGGGAUGAUAAUGACAGCACCGGGAGAAUAAGCUCCGGCUAACUCCG